GACGAACGCUGGCGGCGUGCUUAACACAUGCAAGUCGAGCGGGGACAAUUGGCGGAAGUUUUCGGAUGGAAGCCAAAUGUUCUAGCGGCGGACGGGUGAGUAACGCGUGAGCAACCUUUCUCUCAGUGGGGAAUAACACAGGGAAACUUGUACUAAUACCGCAUGAGACCACGGUGGGGCAUCCUACAGGGGUCAAAGAUUUAUUGCUGAGAGGUGGGCUCGCGUCCGAUUAGGUAGUUGGUGAGGUAACGGCCCACCAAGCCGACGAUCGGUAGCCGACCUGAGAGGGUGAUCGGCCACAUUGGGACUGAGACACGGCCCAA
rnacentral:rRNA from 1 species